UUACGACCACAUCAAGUUGGAACACUCGUUCCCGUACGUUCAGCGAAGUUAAGCAACGUCGAGCCUGGAUAGUACCUAUAUAGGUGAUCGCUUGAGAAUACAAGAUGAUGUAA